rnacentral:rRNA from 1 species
UACGAAGGGUGCAAGCGUUACUCGGAAUUACUGGGCGUAAAGCGUGCGUAGGUGGUUUGUUAAGUCUGAUGUGAAAGCCCUGGGCUCAACCUGGGAAUUGCAUUGGAUACUGGCAGGCUAGAGUGCGGUAGAGGAUGGCGGAAUUCCCGGUGUAGCGGUGAAAUGCGUAGAGAUCGGGAGGAACAUCUGUGGCGAAGGCGGCCAUCUGGACCAGCACUGACACUGAGGCACGAAAGCGUGGGGAGCAAACAGG